GCGCACCAGUCGCGAAAACUCCGCAAUACGCGAAAGCGUGACGGGGCUACCCCGAGUGUCGUCCGCUGAGGACGACUUUUCCACGCUGUAAGGAGGCGUGGGAAUAAGGAGAGGGCAAGUCUGGUGUCAGCCGCCGCGGUAAUACCAGCUCUCCGAGUGGUAGGGACGAUUAUUGGGCUUAAAGCGUCCGUAGCCGGCUCAGCAAGUCUCCCGUUAAAUCCAACGAUUCAAUCGUUGGACUGCGGGAGAUACUGUUGAGCUAGGAGGCGGGAGAGGCCGACGGUAUUCCCGGAGUAGGGGUGAAAUCUUAUAAUUCCGGGAGGACCACCAGUGGCGAAGGCUGUCGGCUAGAACGCGCUCGACGGUGAGGGACGAAAGCUGGGGGAGCGAACCGGAUUAGAUAUGAAGUUGAGUUUUUACCAGCUUCACUAGAAACCCCGGUAGUCC
rnacentral:rRNA from 1 species